rnacentral:rRNA from 1 species
AUUGAACGCUGGCGGCAGGCCUAACACAUGCAAGUCGAGCGAGCGGCGGACGGGUGAGUAAUGUAUGGGGAUCUGCCCGCUAGCGGGGUAUAACUACUGGAAACGGUAGCUAAUACCGCAUACCAUCAGAUGAACCCAUAUGGGAUUCGCUUGUAGGUGGGGUAACGGCUCACCUAGGCGACGAUCCCUAGCUGGUCUGAGAGGAUGAUCAGCCACACUGGGACUGAGACACGGCCCAGACUCCUACGGGAGGCAGCAGUGGGGAAUAGUGCACAAUGGGCGAAAGCCUGAUGCAGCCAUGCCGCGUGUAUGAAGAAGGCCUUAGGGUUGUAAAGUACUUUCAGCGGGGCGGCGUUACCCGCAGAAGAAGCACCGGCUAACUCCGUGCCAGCAGCCGCGGUAAUAC